rnacentral:rRNA from 1 species
UGGGGAAUCUUAGACAAUGGGGGAAACCCUGAUCUAGCCAUGCCGCGUGAACGAUGAAGGCCCUAGGGUUGUAAAGUUCUUUCAGCGGGGAAGAUAAUGACGGUACCCGCAGAAGAAGCCCCGGCUAACUCCGUGCCAGCAGCCGCGGUAAUACGGAGGGGGCUAGCGUUGUUCGGAAUUACUGGGCGUAAAGCGCACGUAGGCGGACUGGUCAGUCAGGGGUGAAAUCCCGGGGCUCAACCCCGGAACUGCCUAUGAUACUGCCUGUCUGGAGCCCGGGAGAGGUGAGUGGAAUUGGGAGUGUAGAGGUGAAAUUCGUAGAUAUUCGGAGGAACACCAGUGGCGAAGGGGGCUCACUGGGUCGGUACUGAGGUUGUGGUGCGAAAGCGUGGGGCGCAAACAGGAUCAGCUACCGGCGUAGGAC